CUUCUGGGCUCCACUGCAGUAGACGCUGAGAGAGGAGCUUGCUCUUCUUGGAUGAGUUGCGAACGGGUGAGUAACGCGUAGGUAACCUGCCUUGUAGCGGGGGAUAACUAUUGGAAACGAUAGCUAAUACCGCAUAACAAUGGAUGACACAUGUCAUUUAUUUGAAAGGGGCAAUUGCUCCACUACAAGAUGGACCUGCGUUGUAUUAGCUAGUAGGUGAGGUAAUGGCUCACCUAGGCGACGAUACAUAGCCGACCUGAGAGGGUGAUCGGCCACACUGGGACUGAGACACGGCCCAGACUCCUACGGGAGGCAGCAGUAGGGAAUCUUCGGCAAUGGGGGCAACCCUGACCGAGCAACGCCGCGUGAGUGAAGAAGGUUUUCGGAUCGUAAAGCUCUGUUGUAAGUCAAGAACGGGUGUGAGAGUGGAAAGUUCACACUGUGACGGUAGCUUACCAGAAAGGGACGGCUAACUACGUGCCAGCAGCCGCGGUAAUACGUAGGUCCCGAGCGUUGUCCGGAUUUAUUGGGCGUAAAGCGAGCGCAGGCGGUUUGAUAAGUCUGAAGUUAAAGGCUGUGGCUCAACCAUAGUUCGCUUUGGAAACUGUCAAACUUGAGUGCAGAAGGGGAGAGUGGAAUUCCAUGUGUAGCGGUGAAAUGCGUAGAUAUAUGGAGGAACACCGGUGGCGAAAGCGGCUCUCUGGUCUGUAACUGACGCUGAGGCUCGAAAGCGUGGGGAGCGAACAGGAUUAGAUACCCUGGUAGUCCACGCCGUAAACGAUGAGUGCUAGGUGUUGGAUCCUUUCCGGGAUUCAGUGCCGCAGCUAACGCAUUAAGCACUCCGCCUGGGGAGUACGACCGCAAGGUUGAAACUCAAAGGAAUUGACGGGGGCCCGCACAAGCGGUGGAGCAUGUGGUUUAAUUCGAAGCAACGCGAAGAACCUUACCAGGUCUUGACAUCCCGAUGCUAUUUCUAGAGAUAGAAAGUUACUUCGGUACAUCGGUGACAGGUGGUGCAUGGUAGUCGUCAGCUCGUGUCGUGAGAUGUUGGGUUAAGUCCCGCAACGAGCGCAACCCCUAUUGUUAGUUGCCAUCAUUCAGUUGGGCACUCUAGCGAGACUGCCGGUAAUAAACCGGAGGAAGGUGGGGAUGACGUCAAAUCAUCAUGCCCCUUAUGACCUGGGCUACACACGUGCUACAAUGGUUGGUACAACGAGUUGCGAGUCGGUGACGGCGAGCUAAUCUCUUAAAGCCAAUCUCAGUUCGGAUUGUAGGCUGCAACUCGCCUACAUGAAGUCGGAAUCGCUAGUAAUCGCGGAUCAGCACGCCGCGGUGAAUACGUUCCCGGGCCUUGUACACACCGCCCGUCACACCACGAGAGUUUGUAACACCCGAAUCGGUGAGGUAACCUUUUGGAGCCAGCCGCCUAAGGUGGGACAGAUGAUGGGGGAAGUCGAGACGCGAGAAAGCA
rnacentral:rRNA from 1 species